rnacentral:lncRNA from 1 species
CCCUUUUUGUUUGAAAUACAGCGGAAAAGCGUUUGAAUUUUUUUUUUUUGAAAACCUGACCCCAGAGUAUGCCAGAUCCGCCACAAAUACAGGGAAUCCACUAUUCACACGGACAGAGUCUCCCCUGUACUUGCACGGCGUCACACAAGUACAAAAGUACAAACAGUAUCAACCACAAUCAAAUGAAUAUACAGAUAGCUAUACAUUCAUAUAUUCCCCAUUCACAUCACAGUUUUACAUUCGAGGUUUAAACAGAAAUCCACAGAAACCUUUUGAAAGCUGUUUCCUACACAGAAACCUUUAUUCUUUUAAAAAUGCUACCACGAGGGGUAGAAAAUCUUUUAUUUCAAGAAAUCACAAUUCCUUUAUUACAUUCCAAAACCAACUGAAAACUCAGAUAUUCAAUUAAUAAAACAAAACUGAACCAUGUAGACCGACUAAGCUAUAAAUAUCCACAGAAAUAAAAAGGGUAAUAGCUAAAUCGAAAUAACCUGGGUCGGAAGCUCUAUCGACCGCUACACACGUACCUCACGUCUCGUCCCACUACUCAACGCCCGCGAUACCUGAAAAAUGGUGGGGGAGGUGAGAACAUGUAAACAUGUCUCCCCUCCCAGU